UUACCGGGUGAAGGCUGCACCGUUACAGGAGAACCAGUUAGUGUAUGUACGUGAUCUUGGAGUCCGGGGCCGACAUAAAAUCCAAGACCUCUGGAGUUCAGUGGUGCAUAAGGUAUUGAAAACCCCUAGGUUGGGGGGUGUGGUUUAUACUGUCGCACCAGUUGAUGCUCUAGAGAAGGUCAAGCAUGUUCAUCGGACCAUGCUUAAGCCCUGUGUUGGUUGUGAAGUCGAAGGUGAUCCUCAGCCUUUUCCAGCUGAAGAGGUGGCUACCUCCGAGGACUCGUUUGAGCAGGAGCUCUGGGUUCGGAUCCCUGCAGUGGAGGGGAAUACAGCGUCAUCUGCCCCUGGGGCUGCCUGUACAGGUCUUUCCCAGUGCCCCCAGUCGUUGGCUGCAGCGUUGUCUCCAGCCAUGCCAAUUCACUCUGGGGUAGGCGGGGAGGAAUGUGCCUCUUGGCAUACGGGUACCCCUUCAAGACCCUCUGUAGUCACCACUCAAGUGAUGGAACAGCCAAGUACCAGUGGGGUAGGGAUACGAAGAACCGCCAGGACCACUGCAGGCCGACAUACUAAUCUUUAUCAUCUUCCUAGGUCGGUAGGGGGCGGGGCCUUAGGGGCUGUGAGUUCUUCUGGACCUGUGUCUCAUGCGGUAGGGGCUAUGUUUAGACCUUGGCAGUAACUCUGGGUUUGGUUGUAGCUGUCCAUCGUCGGGACGACGAUGCAAAAUCCUGGGGUAGAUUAUAAUGAGGUGGAGCUGGAGGGUGCGAUCUGGUUGGGGCAUGGUAAUUUCAUUAACCUGAUUGCUUAAUUGUUGCAGCCAGCACGCGUAUAUAGGACCCGGUUGUGGUUGCGUGUGUGUGACUGAUUUGUAAGCGUGACGUGACUCUCCGUGCGCCAGUAUCUCCUUUUCCGGAAGUUGUGGCUAUAUCCAACGCUGCAGUGGAUCGCGACUUGGAGUGUCCCGGACCGAUGUGAGCCAGACCAUCAACGGGAUACUAAGUCACUACAAUUGCUGCUGUUUUGCCCGGAUGUUUUAUGUUUUGUUUCAUGUUUUAAUUGGUUUUAAGUAUUAAUGUGUUUUAUUGAUUGAAUGUAAAUUGGGGGGGUGUCGUUGGGAAGGCUUGGUGCUGGGCGGUGAGGAUCCGUGUCGGGCGAUACCGCGCUGCGUGGUCGCGUUGCUUUCUUGUAGCCCACCCCUUGGGUGGAUGUAUGUGCGUCAUGUACUGCGGGACCCCUCAGAGUGUUUGACUGUACGCCUCCCAUUCCCCUCCCGAUAACAGCUCCCUGGUUUGGGUUUUCUCUUUUGUCGUGUGAUUGGAGUGUUUUAAACAUGAUUUGAUUUGUAUUUGUGCUGUGAUUUUGGUUUUUUUGUGUUUUUAUUUAGAGUGUGAAUAGCCAACAGCCUAAUAAAGGGAGUGUUUAUGGUC